rnacentral:rRNA from 1 species
GACGAACGCUGGCGGCGUGCCUAAUACAUGCAAGUCGAACGCAGUGGGGACGGGGGAGUAACACGUGGGUAACCUCCCAUCAGAAGGGAUAACACUUGGAAACAGGUGCUAAACCGAUACUGAUGGAUGGACCCGUGGUGCCUUAGCUAGUUGGUGAGGUAACGGCUUACCAAGGCCACGAUGCAUAGCGGCCCGAGGAGGGGAAUCGGCCCAGCGGGAACUGAGACACGGCCAAGAGUCCUACGGAGGGCAGCAGUAGGGAAUCUUCGGAAAUGGACGAAAGUCUGACCGGGCAACGCCGCUUGGGUGAAAAAGGUUUUCGGAUCGUAAAACUCUGUUGUUAGAGAAGCGGUAUCUAACCAGAAAGCCACGGCUAACUACGUGCCAGCAGCCGCGGUAAUUC